rnacentral:rRNA from 1 species
GACGGAGGAUGCAAGUGUUAUCCGGAAUCACUGGGCGUAAAGCGUCUGUAGGUGGUUCGAAAAGUCCACUGUUAAAAAUUGAGGCUUAACUUCAAAGAUGCCGUGGAAACUUUCAAACUAGAGUAUGGUAGGGGUAGAGGGAAUUUCCAGUGGAGCGGUGAAAUGCGUAGAUAUUGGAAAGACCACCGAUGGCGAAGGCACUCUACUGGGCCACUACUGACACUGAGAGACGAAAGCUAGGGGAGCAAACGGG